rnacentral:ncRNA from 1 species
UAAUGAUAAUAGCAAACUUAUCGAAAGGUAAGGUCGCAAAGCUAUGAGUCUAAGGAAAUUUUAUUUUCUAUGAUUGUCAGGUUACCAAA